rnacentral:rRNA from 1 species
GACAGAGGGUGCAAACGUUGUUCGGAAUUACUGGGCGUAAAGCGCGUGUAGGCUGCUCUGCAAGUCGGGUGUGAAAGCCCUGGGCUCAACCUAGGAAGUGCACUCGAAACUGCAGAGCUUGAGUCCUGGAGAGGAAGGCGGAAUUCUCGGUGUAGAGGUGAAAUUCGUAGAGUAUCGAGAGGAACACCGGUGGCGAAGGCGGCCUUCUGGACAGUGACUGACGCUGAGACGCGAAAGCGUGGGGAGCGAACAGG